CACACAGCAAUGGGGGAGAAUCAACUUUUGUUUUAUUAUUAUUACUCUUUUUCGAGCAGCCACAGCACGCUUGGCCGGUUUCUGCGAUGCGUCACGUUAACAGCGAGUUUCGUUGCUCCCUCGGGAAAUCUACUGGAAACUCGUCCACUUUGAACGGAAGUGAAAAUUAUUCAAUUACUGCAUCAAUAAGGAUUUAUAAUAAAAUACUAUUUUACAAGUAGGUUUCACCGACGCGACUCUCUCCUAUUCUUUUCUUUUUUUUAACUACCACGCUAGUCGUCGAGACAUUUAACCAGAACAUGGCAAAACUUGAGGAAAUUUGUAAAAGAAAAGGAAAUAACAAUAAAUAAAGUAAAAUGUACCUUGGGUGCUGCAAGACGGUCGUCGACUUGGAGGACGCGAUUUCGUUCAAAAUACAAAAAUAAUCCCGCCAAUAUUUACAGCACCUGCUUCUUCCCUACCCACACGUCUUUGAUAAAUUAAAGAGUCCCGCCAAACUCACAAAUGUCUUGGAUCAGGCCACUUUAGAGCAGAGGCAGUCUUUGUGUACGUGACAAGAAAAUAUUGACAACAGCUCCAGUGAUAAUGCAUAAAGAACCGAGUCCGUGCGAACGUUUGAAAAUACGUAGAGCCAAGUGAAAUUUGUCGAGAGACGACAAAACGUGCUAUUUACCAGCUCGUAUUGAAAUCCACGUGCGGCACGACCACCCGAGGCAGAACAAGCACGAGGUAACAGAAAUAAAAUCGCACUCUAUAGUACUGCGUUCAAAUCUAUUAGUAUUUGCAAAAGAAGUAGUCGGUAGUCGAAUAUAGUUACAGGAUAUACAUAUAUUAGCAGCAUUAUAUAGAUAUACAUAUUAGCACAAGUACAAUAUAUGUACAUAUAUACAAUAUAAAGUAUGUAGCCCCAUAACCUCUUUUCACGAAGUAACGAAUAAGACACCAGUAGGAAAUACAUUGGUCAAGAAAGUGACUGUAACCGUGAGGCGCACACAAUGUGAAAAAGUAACUAGAACAACGUGCUGUCUGCCGGCACGUCUAGAGACACGUGCGCCUAGUAAUAUAGAGAACUAGUUCAAAGGAUAUUUUUGCCAGAUCAAAGUUACCAGCGUAUACUUUUAUUUCUGGCUAGCAAGAACCUAUUAUCGUACCAUCGAGAGUCUCUACGUACGUACCCGCCUACGUGCGUUUAUGUUGCGUCGAACUGACAUGAAAAUCUCAUUGCCAGUUAGCGUUUCUGUCAUUUGACUUGUGUAAUAAAGACUUUGAUAGAGUAUCCGCUAGACUGACGCAGACCGUUUUAACGCUUGGCAAGAGAAUCCAAGUCGACCACCUACGAGAAGGAUAAUACUAGAAACACGUUUCUGGCAGUUUUAUAGACCAUAAUUCCUAGUGUUGACAAUGACAGAUUUUUUUUUCAUCCUCCCCGCCAAUGCAGUCCAAGUCAAAGUAAAAUUGACCACACAGUGAUUCCUUGAAUUCGUUGAUAAUUUUCGCCGAUUUAUAUGCGCCCGCGUUAACAGUUGAAAAAUCUCGUUCCAACAAUUAUUUCAUUGACCCGGUGUCACUAGGUUUGAAGAAUCAGAGGAAACACUGUCUUCCUUAAGGAUCUUUCGAGAUUUCCCAAGGGAUGCAACACUCCAGGUGUAUUUACGUGUAUUCCAUUGGGACUCGAGAAUUUUCUUCUGCACGCCUUUGAUCUGGUCUUGAUAUAUUUUUUCGGCUGCAGUCCCGUUCAAAACUUUUUUAUAUCUAUAAAUAUAUCGGUACUUCGACAAUGGUCAUGGUAUUUCCUCGUACAAAAAUCUUAAGAUCCCCAAAUUCCACAUAUUAAUAUCAGUAAAUACAUGGAAAAGCUUUCACGUGCUUCGAUGCACUAUCAUCGACUGCAAACGGUGCGUCCUCGAUUUAUUUUUAACAAGACUGACGCCAUACGACGAAAUUACUUUUUGAAUAACUUCUGGCAAUGACUUUAGGUAUCAUUUGUACAGUCGAUACUUUAGACGAGUAAAUCGAAUAAAAUAAUAACAAUGGACUCAAUACAGUCUGUACCAACGACCGUGAUCCUCUCUCUCUCU